GCACUGCUGAGGAGUUCCACAAUAGGACGAAGCCGCCGUCCAGUAU
rnacentral:hammerhead_ribozyme from 1 species